UUCCGAGUGUAGAGGUGAAAUUCGUAGAUAUUCGGAGGAACACCAGUGGCGACAGCCAG
rnacentral:rRNA from 14 species